rnacentral:lncRNA from 1 species
UAAGAGCCCAUUCCUAGUGCCUAUCUCCUUCAACAAGGUCACUCAUCUUUUUUUUUCUUUCUUUUUUUAAGAUUUAUUUAUUUAUUUUAUGUAGAUAGCUGGUCUAUCUGCAUGUACACCUGCAUACCGGAAAAGGACAUCAGAUCACAUUACAGAUGGUUGUGAGCCACCAUAUAGGUUGCUGGGAAUUGAAAUCAGGACCUCUGGAAGAGCAGCCAGUGCUGCGUCAUCAUGCCUCUUAAUACUUCCUAAAAAGUCCAUCAACUAGAAACUGGGACUUCAGAUAUAUGAGCUUAUGGGGGCCAUCUUCGUUCAAAUUAUCACAAGUACAUUAGGAGAUGUUGCUUCCUUUCCUGGAAUUAUAUAUGGUUGUCCAUCACCUAUUCACCUUUCAGGCUUUGGUGUAAAUAUGACUUCUUAGGACAUGUCUGUGACCCUGCUGUGCCCAUUGCCCUGGCAGGACUGUGUACAUCCAUGAGUCCGGGGACCUGUCUGAAUUCCUCAUCUCUAACACUCUGGUGCUUAGAAAAUGAUUGUUAAAGCACAGGAAUAGCAGCCGAAGGAAGCAAGGAAAUUUAUUGUUAAGGGAGAAAGGCAAUAGGGAAAAGGCAAGAUGAAAAGAUGUUUUCAGCCAGAUCAUUCGAUAAACAAGUGCUGGGGAACCAGCAGACCCAAGGCCAGGAGAAAUGAGUUCAAUCGUUAGCUUCUAAUUCUAUCCCAUUCCUUGUCAUCAGUAGAUGGUUUCCCCUCCCUGGACCCCUAUUUCCCAACCAAUAAAAUAAACGUUUGAACUUGCAGCGAGAAGCAUCCCGGCUCUCUUCACACUGGUUCGUUCUCCAGAUCUGUAAUUGUUAGCGGUAAGUGUUCUCAGAUGCCUAAUACACUCUUCUCUACAGGUCUUCCAACUCCCUAGAGUACAAAGCAACCCAUGGACUUGAACAAUGCAAAUCUGUUUGAAAACACUUUAUACUCUGCCACUUCAGCUUUUAUCUCGCUAAGCUGUCUAAGACUUGAAAAUUCAGUAGGAUCAUUAAAAUCAAUUCUUAGACCUCUGUUCCUUUGUAAUCAGUAAACACGGUGUGUUGACCGAAGAAGAGGAUAGAAGCUUUAGCGCUGAGAAUGAAUGGGCUGCGCCACUUGCUUGCUUGUACUUGGUGCCAUUUUCCAUAGGAUGGAAAUUGUUUUCCUGUGUAUUUUUUUUUUCUUUGAUUUUCAUUCUCUUGGGGCAUCCAUGCUAUACAGAACUAAGAGUGGAUAGGACCAAAGGCAAAGUGGCUUUCAUCUUCCAGGCUGUGGGCUCUUGGACAUUGCUGAUUGGGUCGGGUGUGAUGCUUUCUGGUGAAAGGUUUCUGUGUUUAUCCAUGCCAUCAUAUCCAUGUUCUGAUCGAUGUUAGCUGAGAGAGGAAGCUGAUGACACUGUCAGCUUUGUUGCAUGGUCUGAAAUCAACAAAAUGCCCUCCAUUUUGGAAGAGUUACACUGAGUGGAUGGGUGAUAGAUAGAUUGACCAUGGACUCUUUUGUACAUGUGAUAUACAUAAGUUCGACUCUCUCUCUCUCUCUCUCUCUCUCUCUCUCUCUCUCUCUCACACACACACACACACACACACACACAUACACACACAUACACAUUUGUAUAAGCUUGCCUAAUUCAAAAAUUACAUACAUAGACAUCAUAUAUUUAUAUAUGCUUGUGUAAACCUACUGAUUUUGAGGUUCAUCUUAGAUUCUACCCAAUUAAAAAAAUCCAAGAUAUUAGACUUAUGUUAUAUAUUCAAAAAUACCAAUACACAAUGUCUCUAGCUACCAGACUCACUUUCAGGUUUCAGGGUAAUGUCUAUUUGGUUAUAUUAAAGUAGCUUUACAUAACUUAUUUUAAAAUUCUCCCAUGUCACAAGUUGGAAAUAAUCAUAGGAAAAUUUGAAAAACACUAAAGGAUUUGUUAGUAGCCUAAGGAAACAAUUGCAAACUUUACUACAAUAUAACAUAUUCUUUGUUAGAACACUUUUGUAUAUUCGUGCCUAUUAUCCAGGACGUUUUUAUUGCUGUUUUUAUUGGGAAUGCACAAUUUGAGUUGGGAAUGCACAAUUUUAUUUGGACAACUACGUUUCCUUUCUCCUUUUACCUCAGCCAUAGUUUCCUGUGAUCUUAAGUACUUAAUAAAUACUCGAGUCAUGUUGCAGAAGUUGUCUCAAACGCUAAAUCAUUGCAAAGCUAAAAGUUUGAGUUGUGAAGUAUGAGUUUGUCUUAUACUUAAACACUGUUGAUUCUACAACUCCCCUUGAUCUACCCCAUAAGACAUAGAAUCUGGAGGAGCUAUCCGAACCUGAUGCUGCUGUUUUGCACAGCAUUGACUUGCAAGUUUCCUGAUGGUAGGAAGCUGCUUUUCUUUAUCUGAUACAAAGGUAGCUUUCUUCCAAAACUUCUCUCAACCGAGACCUGAUACCAGAAGCGUCUGCUUUUAGGUUCUUGCACAAAAUAAACUGUAUUAAGACCUUCCCCUACUUCUUGGGAAACAGUGUGUCAACCAAUAGGUUAAAGACUCUCUUCCUUCCCUUUUAGUAUUUCAGUUAAUCCCCAACAAUUUAGUAAAGAAACUCUGGGACUUGUAGGAAAAUCUGAAGAUUAUGUCAAUAGUAUUUCCACUUAUUAGUGAGAUUUCGGGGCGUUGAGAUAGUAUGGUCACUCUAAAGGUUGCAGAGACGGCAGAAAUUUGGAGGAAGUGUAAUUUACAGGCAGUGUGACCUGGCAGCCCAUGCUCAUGCAUCCUAAUUAGGUAAAACAGGCCCUGAAAUUGCCUUCUGUCAUCUGGGUAAGAAGCAAUUACAGUCAUAAUUCAGGAUGCUGGUUCCACUAGAGAAGAAGGUAUUAUAUUUAGCUGACUCUUUUAAUCAACUGGGGGUUAAAAUAUUAAUGUCUCUAUUUGUGAAAAUGCAGUGGUGCAUGGGGGCAGGGAAUAAUUUACAGCUAAGAAGAUGGGAAAGUUUCAGAAUUUUAGCCUGAAACUUCCCAAUUUCUAAGUCAUAAAGUUGGAGUUGGUUAAAAAUAAUUGUUUUUGUGUCUGACAAAGACUGGGGGAAAAUUCCCAUGUACAAACCAGCAUCAAACAACAGAGCUCAAAACAUGGAUUUGUAACACUAACCUGAGCUUAAAGUGGUGCAUCAUAUGUGUUAUGUUCUGAUGGAGCGCUUUUUCAUAGCAGCCCCUGCAUGUCUCUGUUUAAUAGAGUUUGGCUUCUACUUAUAAACAAGAAGCUCAGAGGUGAUAGUGAAUAUCAUUUUUUUUGAAGAGGCUCUAUUUAUAGCAAAUCUCCAAAUACAUUUUAUGUGGGAAAGAAAAUUUAAGAAUUUAUUUUAUUUAUUUAUUUUUUAUUUCUGGUUCUCUUAUGUCCAUGUGUGGGUCUGUGAACUAGUAUGUGAGCUCAUGUGCCUGUGGAUUCCAGAAGAGGGUGGCAUGUUUACUAGAGCAAAAAUUGCAAGUGGUUUUGAGCUGCCUCGUGUGGGCACUGGGGACUGAGCUGAGGGUCUUCUGCUACUCCAGUAUGUAUACACUGGACCACUAAGCCAUCUCUCCAAUCACUGCAAGAAAAAUGUUUACCAUAUGUGUUUAUACAAUAGUUGAAUCACCACAUCUGUGGCUUCUUAUGUUUGCUGAUGAAAUAUGCCCAACCUAUAAAGUAUUUUCUGGAUUUGGGAGUUGUUCCUGGAAAGCUUUUCUGGGAGGAAGGCAAAGAUGUUGGCCAUUUGGUCAUUUCUUUGUCUGUUUCUGUUGCCAUAACAGAAUGCCUGAGGCUGGGUAACUUAUGGGAAAAGAAACUCCUUCUCUUCACGGUUCAUACAGCUAAAGGUGUGAUGUAGCACUACCUAAGAGGGCAAGAUGGCAUGGUCCAUUGCAAGGGGUGAGUGAUUGUAUGCAGGAAGGGCAAAGCAAUGGGCAUGGCCUGGUCUUACAGCUUUCCUUCUAGGGUAAUGAAUCCAGUCUAUAACACCUCUAGCCACUCCUAAGACAGAGCCACACAGCAAUCACAUUGCAACAUGGGUUUCCAAGGGCACCGAUGUGUUCACAUCAUAGCAAUAUGUGACGAGUCUUUUUUUGUUUUCUAAAAAAAUCUAAGCUCCAUAAUUAAUGGCUCCUUGAUGGAUGCAGAUGGCUGGAUAGCUGUCAACAAUAUUUUAAUAAUAAAAAACAACUGC